CAAUUGCUUAUAACCUUUUGGUUAUAAAUAAUUGUUAGUGGCAGACGGGUGAGUAAUGCGUAGGAAUCUACCUAGUAGUAUGGAAUAGCCAUUAGAAAUGAUGGGUAAUACUGUAUAAUCCCUGCGGGGGAAAGAUUUAUCGCUAUUAGAUGAGCCUACGUUAGAUUAGCUAGUUGGUAAGGUAAUGGCUUACCAAGGCUAUGAUCUAUAGCUGGUCUGAGAGGACGAUCAGCCACACUGGAACUGAGAUACGGUCCAGACUCCUACGGGAGGCAGCAGUGGGGAAUAUUGGACAAUGGGCGAAAGCCUGAUCCAGCUAUGCCGCGUGAGUGAAGAAGGCCUUCGGGUUGUAAAACUCUUUCAAUAGGGAAGAUAAUGACGGUACCUAUAGAAGAAGUCC
rnacentral:rRNA from 1 species